GGAGGGGUACCAAAGUGGCCAACUGGGGCGGACUGUAAAUCCGUUGCGAAAGCUUCGAAGGUUCGAAUCCUUCCCCCUCCA
rfam:Alicyclobacillus acidoterrestris ATCC 49025 contig_123, whole genome shotgun sequence.